rnacentral:misc_RNA from 1 species
CAGAGUGUAAAAACUCCCAAACCCCUGUGAACAUACCACUGUUGCUUCGGCGGGACCGCCCCGGGCGCCUUCUCGGUGCCCCGGAUCCAGGCGCCCGCCGGGGACACCAAACUCUUGAUUCUUAUAGCGGAAUUCUCUGAGUGGAUUUUAUAAAUAAGUCA